CAGUCGCCGCGGUAAUACGAGGGGGGCAAGCGUUGUUCGGAUUUAUUGGGCGUAAAGGGUGCGUAGGCGGUUUGGCAAGUCUUGUGUGAAAUCUUCGGGCUCAACCCGAAGCCUGCACGAGAAACUACCGGGCUUGAGUAUUGGAGAGGUGAGUGGAAUUUCCGGUGUAGCGGUGAAAUGCGUAGAUAUCGGAAGGAACACCUGUGGCGAAAGCGGCUCACUGGACAAUAACUGACGCUGAUGCACGAAAGCUAGGGGAGCAAACAGGAUUAGAUACCCCCGUAGUCCCUGUCUCUUAUAC
rnacentral:rRNA from 1 species